rnacentral:rRNA from 1 species
ACGGGGCCCGCACAAGCGGUGGAGCAUGUGGUUUAAUUCGACGCAACGCGAAGAACCUUACCAGGGCUUGACAUCCCCUGACCGCGUAUGAAAGUACGUUUUCACCCUCGGGUGACAGGGAGACAGGUGGUGCAUGGUUGUCGUCAGCUCGUGUCGUGAGAUGUUGGGUUAAGUCCCGCAACGAGCGCAACCCCUACGUUUAGUUGCUAACGCGUGAAGGCGAGCACUCUAGACGAACUGCCGUUGACAAAACGGAGGAAGGUGGGGAUGACGUCAAAUCAUCAUGCCCCUUAUGACCUGGGCUACACACGUGCUACAAUGGUUGGUACAACGAGUUGCGAGUCGGUGACGGCGAGCUAAUCUCUUAAAGCCAAUCUCAGUUCGGAUUGUAGGCUGCAACUCGCCUACAUGAAGUCGGAAUCGCUAGUAAUCGCGGAUCAGCACGCCGCGGUGAAUACGUUCCCGGGCCUU